rnacentral:rRNA from 1 species
AGCAGCCGCGGUAAUUCCAGCUCCAAUAGCGUAUAUUAAAGUUGCUGCAGUUAAAAAGCUCGUAGUUGAAUUUCGGGACUAAUAUGUCGGUCGUGCCUCGGUACGUACUGGUUUAUUGGUUUCUCCUUUUUGAAGAACCAUGAUGUCAUUUAUUUGGUGUCGUGGGGAAUCAGGACUGUUACUUUGAAAAAAUUAGAGUGUUUAAAGCAGGCUCACGCUUGAAUACAUUAGCAUGGAAUAAUGAAAUAGGACGUUUGAUUCUAUUUUGUUGGUUUCUAGGAUCGACGUAAUGAUUAAUAGGGAUAGUUGGGGGCAUUAGUAUUCAAUUGUCAGAGGUGAAAUUCUUGGAUUUAUUGAAGACUAACUACUGCGAAAGCAUUUGCCAAGGAUGUUUUCAUUAAUCAAGAACGAAAGUUAGGGGAUCGAAGACGAUCAGAUACCGUCGUAGUCUUAACCAUAACUAUGCCGACUAGGGAUCGGAUGAUGUUAAUUUUUUAAUUGUACUCAUUCGGUCGCCUUU